ensembl:snoRNA small nucleolar RNA SNORA77
GCAGGCUCACUCUGUGCCUGACUGCAAUAUUCAGUCACGGUGCUUUUUAGGCCUGCUAGAGUAAUCCAGGAUGUUGUGAACACUUUCCCUACUUGUGGAAGUCCGUUUCAAUUGAUCUUGGUACAGAUGA